rnacentral:rRNA from 1 species
ACACUCCUACGGGAGGCAGCAGUGGGGAAUAUUGGACAAUGGGCGCAAGCCUGAUCCAGCCAUGCCGCGUGAGUGAUGAAGGCCCUAGGGUUGUAAAGCUCUUUCACCGGUGAAGAUAAUGACGGUAACCGGAGAAGAAGCCCCGGCUAACUUCGUGCCAGCAGCCGCGGUAAUACGAAGGGGGCUAGCGUUGUUCGGAUUUACUGGGCGUAAAGCGCACGUAGGCGGACUAUUAAGUCAGGGGUGAAAUCCCGGGGCUCAACCCCGGAACUGCCUUUGAUACUGGUAGUAUUGAGUUCGAGAGAGGUGAGUGGAAUUCCGAGUGUAGAGGUGAAAUUCGUAGAUAUUCGGAGGAACACCAGUGGCGAAGGCGGCUCACUGGCUCGAUACUGACGCUGAGGUGCGAAAGCGUGGGGAGCAAACAGGAUUAGAUACCCCAGUAGUCCCAUGAU